UACGGAGGGUGCAAGCGUUGUCCGGAUUUAUUGGGUUUAAAGGGUGCGUAGGCGGCCCUAUAAGUCAGUGGUGAAGUACUGCAGCUUAACUGUAGCAUUGCCAUUGAUACUGUAGGGCUUGAGUACAGAUGAGGUAGGCGGAAUUGAUGGUGUAGCGGUGAAAUGCAUAGAUACCAUCAAGAACACCGAUUGCGAAGGCAGCUUACUAAACUGUAACUGACGCUGAGGCACGAAAGCGUGGGGAUCGAACAGG
rnacentral:rRNA from 1 species